GAUCAUCCAAUGAACAGGUCCUUACGGAGAGACACUCGAGAAACCGCUCGAGUCCCCUAAAAUGCCACAAGUAUAUCAUCAUAUCCAGAAUAAAAUUAUAGUAUCAUCGUUAUAUCUCAUCAUGUUUAUUGAUUAAAGUAAAGUGCUAGCAUAGAACUAAUCAUAAUAAUCAAUUCAUAAAGGUUAAACAAGGACAGGAAAACAUAAUACUAGUCAAUCCUUAGGUUGAUCAUGGUAUGCGGGUUGAUGAAUUAUAAAGUAAAUGGGACAUAAUAGGGCAGAGGACACUUGUCUUCACCAAACAAAUGCUCAAGGUCUUUAAUCUCGUAGAACUCGAAGAGCUUGAUCUUAGGACCAGUGGUUCACCAAAUCUUGAUCGUCGAUUCCUUGAAGCUCAGGGACAUAUCAUUAUCUAUUCGCGACGCGCAACAAAUACAAACAGGCACAUGCAAACAUAUACUUGUAUAAGAACAUUACACCAUACAAGAUAAAAUAUUAUCGAAACGAGCAAUAUAAAAAUAGAAAGCGCUUCUACAGUUAUGCGAGGAAAAGAACCACGAUAGUCGAAGCUACGGUCGAGAAGUUAUUGCGUUUACGCCAAACAGGUAUUAACUAUAACAUUUAGUUCGACAUAAUUAUAUUAAUAUACCUUUAUUAAAUGUAGAUUAAAACUACUAUUUAGUUUCGAUUAAUCUCCUACUCUAAUAGUUGUCGGAUUAAACAAGUAAUUAAUUAAUUAACACGAACGAUUAUAAGUGACACAGUUUAAUUACGUGCACGGAAAAUGCGCGACGUGCGUGAGCGACGCGUGAAACAGCACGCGCGACACGCGAAACAACAUGAACAAUACGCGAACAACGCGACGACGACGAGCACCACACGUGUGAACAACACGACAUACGAGUACUGCUAAAUUAUGUCGUUCUUAUAUUAGCCAAAUAUACACGCGCGGAUAUACGAAUUGUUAUUUUAAUAAUACACAACUAAACAAGUAAUCAAUUAUUUAACAUGGAUGAUUUAGCGAAAUGAUUUUACUAAAGCGUGCAAAUAACAAUUUACACAAAAGACGACGCGCGCGGAUAGCACGAUGACGCGCAAACGAUGUCGCGCGCGAACAACAAACAAAUGAUUAAUGAAAAGUAUUUCAGUUGGUAUUAAUCACGUUACUCUGCAUUUAUAAAAACGCAAAUAAAACUAUAAAUUAGUUUUAUUUAAAUUGUUAUUCUAAUAAAUAUCAGAUGGACAAAAAAUUAACCAAUUAAUUAAAACUUGUGUCGUGAUAAAAUAAUGUUACUAACAUGAAAUUGGUGUUGCCAUAGAGUGGACGCGACCGAAACGAGUCAAAACAGAUUUACUACGGAUAAUAUAUCGAAUAAAUAACAAUUUACGGAUUAUACAAUGCGACAUAUGAAAACCGCUAAACACACGUCACGACUACACCAAGUAAGUAUUAAAUGAAAAACAUUUACAUCGGUAUUAAUUAUGUUAAUAUUUAUAUAUGAAAGUGCAAAUUAAAACUACAAAUAAAUUUUAACCAGUUUGUUAUUUCAAUAACCCUUGGACAAACUAACAAGUAAAUAAAUAAAUAAAACAUGUAUCAUGAUGAAAUAAUAUUUUUAACAUGUACACGAUAUUAUUAUGAAGUUAAUAAAACUGAAAAUAAAUAAAUCGGACGUCUAACACAAAUGGUAACUCGUAUUUAAUAACACGCGGAUUUAAUGCGGUGGUGCAAUAUAACUGGCCAGAGCCAAGCCACACAAAGGCCUACAAAGUCGCGGGCACAGAAGAUCCAACACGAGGCAAUUCCCAAGACUCACAGCAUGCCUGCAUGCGAAUUUGAAGAUUACGCAAUAUAUGCAUGCUAAAAGGAGAUGUACAGGCAUGCAUGGCAUGGGAUGGGGCCAGGCGGUUUCUAGGGAGCUAAUUAUGCGCAUGGCGUUAGAGAUGUGUAGAAGACAUGCAUGCGGGCCCACGAGACGGUUAUUUCGUCUUUCUCAUCACGCACGCACGCACGGGAGUCUUCUUCGUUGGAACAACGGCUCUGGGCUUCCUACGUAGGGACGGGGCUGCGGGCCGGACGCGCAGCCGCGGCUGGAGAGUCGCCAUGGGCGCACGCAAGAGCCGGGAAGCCGUGGCUAGGGCUGGACAGUGGUGGGGCUUCGCCGGACAGAGGCCACGCUAGCAAGGGAGACACGCGCUAGGGGCAUAGGUGGCUGGCCGCGAGCUGCGCUAGGCCGCGCGCGCAGGCACGCGAGCACGCCGCCUAGGAGGCUCAGUCGCGCGCCAGCGGCGGCGAGGCAAAGGCCAGGCACGCUGCGUGGGUGGCCGGGGCUGGGCGCCGCGCGGAGCUGCAGGGGCACGCAAGGGAGAAGCGCGCACGCGUGCUAUGAUGCCGCGGCACUGUGCUGGGUGGGCAAGCGUCCACCGGGAGUGCAAGCGAUGGGCGGCGUUGGAGACGGCGACCGCCACGGCGGCUCUACAGAUCUAGGCAUCGGUAUAACGGACGAAGGGAGGAUGAGGGAACUGCGUACCUAGUAACUGCUGCUCGUGAGAUCCGGAUCCAGGGGAGAAGUUCAUAUCUGUGUAGAGGGAAGGAGUUUUAG
rnacentral:lncRNA from 1 species